GUGUCUCUAAAACUAAAUCCAUGGUGCUUACUAGGCGUAUUAAAACUAUGAUGGAUGGAUCUUCCUUUCUAGUCGCAAUAUGUUGGACAGUCCGCUGAUUCUAAAUGAGCUGAUUUCUUGGGUUCGAAAGGAAAGACGUUUAUUCUCAAGGUUGAUAUUGAAAAAGCGUAUGAUAAUAUCAGCUUGGAGUAUAUUGAUUUAGUUCUCUCUCAGAUGGGUUUUCCAGGUUUAUGGCGUACAUGGGUGAGGAGUAUUUGUGUAACGCCCAAAUUUUUGAAAGACUUUUAAUUUAAAUUAAAUGCGGAAACUAGGUCCCAAAUUUUUUUAUAUCAUUGUAUAAACUUAUUUUCAUGAGUAUACGUCAUCAACAUUAUCUUUUAUAAAAAAUAUAAUCUAAUAACCUUACGUUCGUUAAUCAAUUACUACACAAAAUGACAUCUCAUCUCCAUGAUGUGAUAUUCGUAGUCCGUCCCAAGCACUUAAUCUUCAAAUCCAAAGCCUUCAACGAUACUUAUCCACAGCAUUACCUAAGGUAUUACAAAACCUUAAGUUAGUUGUAUAACAUCUAGGAAACAUGGCAAAAGGUUUGCAUCAAAAUAAGUUUUAACACGACAAAAAUGGAUAGGAGAAGACAAAUACGGCGUAGGCUACACCAGCCAUGGCAUAACCUACACCCACAUGCACUUUGGCGUAAACCACAACAUAUCACAUAAGGGUAUUUGGCGUAAGCUUCCACAACAUGCAUAGUCUAUCUUGGGAGGGACAUAGGCAACCACCUUCAGCAUCAAUUUACCAUCAUUAAACUCAUUCGAUUUGUUUCGAUCCAUGCAACCUGCUAACAUAUCUAAAUUUGAUCCUUGACAUAAUAAAGAUCAUUAGUAAAUGUACCCAAUCUAUUUGCCAUAAACCAAAUCCCUGAGAUCACACAUUUCAUUUAUAAAAUCAUAACGGGUCAAAAUUUCAAUAUUCACCGUGUUGUAACAUUUUAAUCAAGUCCCAUUUACUUAUUAGAUUUCGUUCUCAUCUAAGUAUCAUAUUAUUAACGUAAAUCACAAACUAAAACUAUAAAGGCUACUUAUUCACCCUCUUGACCUGUUACCAUUUGGUUAGUGAUGUAUAAACUUUUGACCCGUUACAACGUUUUUUAAACAUAAUGUUGUCAACGACUAUUUUAUGAAGAAAACACCAUCAAAACCACAUCAAAGAAUUUCAGCAAAAUCUACAAAAAUUACAUAAAAUCAUUUAUAAUGUUAUCCAACUUCUCAACAAAAAUCAUGCCAAAACAAGAUGGUUAAGGCCCCGAAAUAACCUCUGCAAGUAGGCUGACCUGGUUGUUGUCAACCUAUAUUUUGUCGACAAAACACCCACAAAACCACAUCAAACAUUUUCAGAAAAAUCUACAAAAAUUACAUAAAAUCAUUU
rnacentral:lncRNA from 1 species